CCAGAGGUUUUCAAAAAGACUCAUGUCAGAAAGAAAGAAAAUGAGUCGGAUCCGGAUGUGUGGGUGGAGGAAAGGCCUGAACGAACUUUUAAUGACUUUCAUAAGUACGUCUCUGAGAAUCUAGAUAGUUCGGUUCAAUUUGACACCUGAACUGUCCACUCAGAUUUGGAA